UGAGACACGGCCCAGACUCCUACGGGAGGCAGCAGUAGGGAAUUUUCGGCAAUGGACGGAAGUCUGACCGAGCAACGCCGCGUGAAUGAUGAAGUAUUUCGGUAUGUAAAGUUCUUUUAUUUGGGAAGAAAAAACAAAUUGACGGUACCAAAUGAAUAAGCCCCGGCUAACUACGUGCCAGCAGCCGCGGUAAUACGUAGGGGGCAAGCGUUAUCCGGAAUUAUUGGGCGUAAAGGGUGCGUAGGCGGGUUAUCAAGUCUUUGGUUAAAAUGCGGUGCUCAACGCCGUAGUGCCAAAGAAACUGAUAGUCUAGAGUAUGGUAGAAGUGAGUGGAACUCCAUGUGUAGCGGUAAAAUGCGUAAAUAUAUGGAAGAACACCAGUGGCGAAGGCGGCUCACUAGGCCAAUACUGACGCUGAGACACGAAAGCGUGGGGAGCAAACAGGAUUAGAUACCCUGGUAGUCCACGCCCUAAACGAUGAGUACUAAGUGUAGCCAGAAGGCUGUGCUGAAGUUAACGCAUUAAGUACUCCGCCUGAGUAGUACGUACGCAAGUAUGAAACUUAAAGGAAUUGACGGGAUCCCGCACAAGCGGUGGAGCAUGUUGUUUAAUUCGACGAUACGCGAAGAACCUUACCAGGUCUUGACAUACUCGGCAAAUCUAUAGAGAUAUAGAGGAGGUUAACCGGGAUACAGGUGGUGCAUGGUUGUCGUCAGCUCGUGUCGUGAGAUGUUAGGUUAAGUCCUGCAACGAGCGCAACCCUUAUUGCUAGUUACCAUCAUUAAGUUGGGGACUCUAGCGAGACUGCCGGUGAUAAACCGGAGGAAGGCGGGGAUGACGUCAAAUCAUCAUGCCCUUUAUGACCUGGGCUACAAACGUGCUACAAUGGCUGACACAAAGAGAAGCGAGCUCGCGAGAGUAAGCAAACCUCAGAAAAGCAGUCUCAGUUCGGAUUGAAGUCUGCAACUCGACUUCAUGAAGUUGGAAUCGCUAGUAAUCGCGAAGCAGAGUGUCGCGGUGAAUACGUUCCCGGGAUUUGUACACACCGCCCGUCAAACCAUGAGAGUUUGUAAUACCCGAAGCCGGUGGCCGAACCGCAAGGAAGGAGCCGUCUAAGGUAGGACAGAUGAUUGGGGUUAAGUCGUAACAAGGUAUCCCUACGAGAACGUGGGGAUG
rnacentral:rRNA from 1 species